UAUGAUUUGAAAGCUCUGCAGUUGAUUUUCAUGUACAGCCAAGUCUGAGAACCACUGACUAAAACAAACCUAAAUGGGUAUUUCGUUUUUCUGAAUUCAGUAUCCAAAGCUGCCACUCUCACAACAGUUGACCCAAGAAAAAGUGAAUGAAAACUUUGAUCAUCUCAUGGAAGUCUAUCUAAAGAAAUCUGACCUAUCAGGAACACCAGUAAGAAUGAAGAAGGAAUCCAAACCACCACACAAAUUGCUCCACUGUGCUAUGUACUCCAUCCCAAAUCUCCCGAUGUGGAAUGUCAUCCUCACUACAUAAUGGGUCAGGGUUAUGCAAUGAAAAGUCAG
rnacentral:lncRNA from 1 species